rnacentral:rRNA from 1 species
CUACGGGGCGCUGCAGUGAGGAAUAUUGCACAAUGGGGGGAACCCUGAUGCAGCAACGCCGCGUGGAGGAUGACGCAUUUCGGUGUGUAAACUCCUUUUAUAUGUCAAGAAAAUGACGGUAGCAUAUGAAUAAGCACCGGCUAACUCCGUGCCAGCAGCCGCGGUAAUACGGAGGGUGCAAGCGUUACUCGGAAUCACUGGGCGUAAGGGACGCGUAGGCGGGCUAGAAAGUCAGGUGUGAAAGCCUAUGGCUCAACCAUAGAACAGCACUUGAAACUCCUAGUCUAGAGUAUGGGAGGGGGAGAUGGAAUUAGUAGUGUAGGGGUAAAAUCCGUAGAUAUUACUAGGAAUACCGAAAGCGAAGGCGAUCUCCUGGAACAUAACUGACGCUAAGGCGUGAAGGCGUGGGGAGCAAACAGGAUUAGAUACCCCUGUAGUC